rnacentral:rRNA from 1 species
GUCUACGGCCAUACUACCCUGAAUAAAUCCAGUCCGAUCUCGUCUGAUCUCGGAAGCUAAGCAGGAUCGGGCCUGGUUAGUACUUGGAUGGGAGACCACCUAGGAAGACCAGGUGCUGUAAGUG